rnacentral:rRNA from 1 species
UACGUAUGGGGCAAGCGUUAUCCGGAUUUACUGGGUGUAAAGGGUGCGUAGGCGGCAGGACAAGUCAGAUGUGAAAUGCCGGGGCUUAACCCCGGAGCUGCAUUUGAAACUAUUCUGCUUGAGUUCAGGAGGGGCAGGCGGAAUUCCUGGUGUAGCGGUGAAAUGCGUAGAUAUCAGGAGGAACACCGGUGGCGAAGGCGGCCUGCUGGACUGACACUGACGCUGAGGCACGAAAGCGUGGGGAG